rnacentral:sRNA from 1 species
GCUGGGUAAGGUGGCACAUGCCUGUAAUCCCAGUGGCUUGGGAGGCUGGGGCAGGAGGAUUACAAAUUCAAUUGCCUCAGCAAUUUAGCAAGGCCCUAAGCAACUCUGUGAGACCCUGUCUCUA